GUGUAAUUUGACUCAUAACGCUCUGAUUGGUUACUUAAUCCACCAAUCAGAGAGUUAUGAGUCAAAUUACACAGCGUGGGAAAAUUCCAAGAGCCUUGCCCCGCCCUGCAGAGCUCAGUCUGUGCGGAGCCCUCGCCGGGUGAAGAUGGAUUUUUUUUUUUGUGCUCGUUUUUUUUUUUUUAUUGCGUCGGUUAUUAUGCUUUUUUAUUUGGCCUUUUUUGGGGCUUAAAAAAGAAGAUUUUAGAAGAAAGAAGACAUCGAAUGGUAAGUUGUUUUUUUUUUUACAGGUACUUAGUUAAAGGUCCC